GACGAACGCUGGCGGCGUGCUUAACACAUGCAAGUCGAACGGAAAGGCCCUGCUUGCAGGGUACUCGAGUGGCGAACGGGUGAGUAACACGUGGGUGAUCUGCCCUCCACUUCGGGAUAAGCCUGGGAAACUGGGUCUAAUACCGGAGAGGAGCCAUUUUUAGUGUGAUGGUUGGAAAGUUUUUUCGGUGUAGGAUGAGCUCGCGGCCUAUCAGCUUGUUGGUGGGGUAAUGGGCUACCAAGGCGGCGACGGGUAGCCGGCCUGAGAGGGUGGACGGCCACAUUGGGACUUAGAUACGGCCCAGACUCCUAAGGGAGGCAGCAGUGGGGAAUUUUGCACCAUGGGCGCAAGCCUGAUGCAGCGAAGCCGCGUGGGGGAUGACGGCCUUCGGGUUGGAAACUCCUUUCGGCAGGGACGGAGCUUUUUGUGACGGUACCUAGAAAAGAAGCACCGGCUAACUACGUG
rnacentral:rRNA from 1 species